UAAUACUGCAAGUCGAGCGAAGUUUUUUGGUGCUUGCACCGGAAAAACUUAGCGGCGAACCGGGUGAGUAACACGUAAAGAACCUGCCUCAUAGACUGGGACAACUAUUGGAAACGAUAGCUAAUACCGGAUAACAGCAUUAACUGCAUGGUUGAUGUUUAAAAGUUGGUUUUGCUAACACUAUGAGAUGGCUUUGCGGUGCAUUAGCUAGUUGGUGGGGUAAAGGCCUACCAAGGCGACGAUGCAUAGCCGACCUGAGAGGGUGAUCGGCCACACUGGGACUGAGACACGGCCCAGACUCCUACGGGAGGCAGCAGUAGGGAAUCUUCCGCAAUGGGCGAAAGCCUGACGGAGCAACGCCGCGUGAGUGAAGAAGGAUUUCGGUUCGUAAGCU
rnacentral:rRNA from 1 species